UCCCGUGUGGCUCAGUUGGUAGAGAAUGGCACUUGUAAUGCCAGAGUUGUGGGUUUGAUCCCUACGGGGAA
rnacentral:tRNA from 1 species